AGAGGAAGUUGGAAUUGAGUAAGGAUUUAACAAAUACCGAUCAGGAGACAGUUGGAACCUAGGUUGAGGUGUCCAUGUAGUUUCGUCUCCUUGGUAGGUAUGUUGGCAUUUAGUAGCCGUCCCUUCACCUUGGUCACUCCGCUGGAAGCCUAGAGUCAUUUUUGUUUGUAAAUACGUACAUGUGAUGUAAAGUACUAAGAUGCAUGCCUUAGACCAUAUAUGUAUAUUUUGAUUGGUAAGCCAUCAUGAGUGGCAAUGGUUAAUAUUAUUUUGGGUUAAUAUAAAUGCAGUUUUGAUUGCUAUA